UACGGAGGGGGCGAGCGUUGUUCGGAAUCAUUGGGCGUAAAGAGCACGUAGGCGGCAAGGUAAGUCCCGUGUGAAAGCCCUCGGCUUAACCGAGGAAGUGCAUGGGAAACUCCCUUGCUUGAGUGCGGGAGAGGAGGGUGGAAUUCCCGGUGUAGCGGUGAAAUGCGUAGAUAUCGGGAAGAACACCGGUGGCGAAAGCGGCUCUCUGGACCGCUACUGACGCUGAGGUGCGAAAGCUGGGGGAGCAAACGGG
rnacentral:rRNA from 1 species